CAACAUUCCUAAACAGAAAAGCCUUUCACAGAUUACAGACGUGCAUGGUGAGAUGGAAAAAACUUAAGAUACCAGAGCCUUUUUCUUUUCUGACUUACGCUUUUACAUUUAAAUGAAAACUGUGCAUAGAGAUUCCAGGAAAGAGUAAGAGCUCUCGAAUUCUCUUCAGGCAGCUCCAGGAUCGCUUAUGACCCACAGGUUUUCUUCUCAAAACUAACGUGACAUCUUAAAUAUACGACACCUGCAACGUGCAAACGCAAAUAACAACCAGGGAGCACGAAAGCAAAUAAAUAAAGCACAGCUCCAGAAGGAAAGAUACAGAGUUGUUAUUUACUGGGCUGUGUUUCCUUUAGAAGACUUGGUACAAAUGAGUAAGCCUUAUGAGGCAGAAAG